UCCUUGGUGGCUCAGACAGUAAAGAAUCUGCCUGCAAAGCAGGAGAUCCAGGUUGGAAUCCUGGGUUGGGAA
rnacentral:tRNA from 1 species